rnacentral:rRNA from 1 species
CUCUUCUUGUUUGUUGAUUUGAAGUAUGACCUGCCCACUGAGGUUAUUGAAGGGCCGCGGUAUUUUGACCGUGCAAAGGUAGCAUAAUCAUUAGCUCUUUAAUUGUGAGCUGGUAUGAAUGGUUUGACGAGGUAUUGACUGUCUUUAAGUUUGGGGGCUAUUGAAUUUGUUUUUUGGGUAAGAAUACCUAAAUUUUUUUAUGGGACGAGAAGACCCUAUAGAGUUUUAUAUAAUGCGCCUCCCCCUGUUUGUUGUGUUUGAUGUGUGGUGUUGUUAUAUUUUGUUGGGGCGAUGAGAAGACGGGUAUAACUCUUCUUUUUUGUGGUUUCACUUAUUUGUGCUUUUUUGAUCCUUUUUUAUUGAUUGUAAGAUUAAAUUACCUUAG